CGGGGUGUAGCGCAGAGGUAGCGCAUCGCGUUCGGGACGCGAGGGUCGGAGGUUCAAAUCCUCUCACCCCGA
rnacentral:tRNA from 1 species